AAAGGUAAUUUGGAUUACCUCAUUU
rnacentral:snRNA from 1 species